UUGAGAGUGAUUAUGUUAAAUUCCAAAAGAAGAUGGAACUUGUGAAGACAAAAUUGUAUAAACUUUUUGAUCAAUAUUCCAAUACUAGCAAGACAAGUUCUUCACAAUGCCAACCACAAUGUUCUUCUACCACAAAUACACAUCAGCAAAGUGUAGGAGGAGUUAAAGGAAAAAACAAAAGAAUCUUUGAUGAAAUAAUGGCAUAUGAGAGCCAAACAAUUACAAGUGCUGGAAAAUCUCAAUUGGAUCUUUAUUUGGAAGAGCCAAAACUUGAAUUUGCAUAUUAUCAAGAUUUGAAUGUUUUGGAGCAUUGGAA